rnacentral:rRNA from 1 species
AUGGCGCCGGGAUUCACCAAAUUUGAUGUGGAGAAAUUCGAUGGCACGGGUAACUUCGGUCUAUGGCAGACAAGAGUCAAGGAUAUUCUGACGCAACAGGGAAUCUUGAAGGGUUUGCAGGAGAUGAAGCCGGCCAAGGUUGACAACGAUGCCUGGGAGGAUAUGCAAGUGCAAGCGGCCGCUACCAUAUGA